rnacentral:rRNA from 1 species
ACGUAGGGAGCAAGCGUUAUCCGGAUUUAUUGGGUGUAAAGGGUGCGUAGACGGGAAGGCAAGUUAGUUGUGAAAUCCCUCGGCUUAACUGAGGAACUGCAACUAAAACUAUCUUUCUUGAGUGCUGGAGAGGAAAGUGGAAUUCCUAGUGUAGCGGUGAAAUGCGUAGAUAUUAGGAGGAACACCAGUGGCGAAGGCGACUUUCUGGACAGUAACUGACGUUGAGGCACGAAAGUGUGGGGAGCAAA